AGUACAGCUUUCACAGAAGCAAUGGGAUGUCUGAACACAAGUGGCUGACUUGGGAGUGACUUUAUGAAGCACUUUUUUGCCUUCCUUAGGCAGGAAAAAAUUGGAAUUCUGCACCUGCAUCAGAAAAGGACCAGACUAAUUCUGCCACCCAGUAGCAAGAAACUCACACAGCUAGCUGGUCUGAAAUUGAAUCAUAAUAAAUGUGCCAACCAGAGGACAAAGGUAGCUGAAGACAUCGAGCCAUGCCUGUUACACAGAAGCUGUUGAAGUGUUGUGAGAUCUCCAAGGUUCAGCUGUGCUGAAAAUCAGAAAAUGACUCAGGAAGAGUUCCCAUACCACAUGAUGCAGUCCUAAACUGAGUUUUAAAGCUAUCAACAAGCAUUUUUUAAGUGCCUAAAUGAACAGAAAUCUACUAUAACUGAGAAAUUGAUGAAGGUUGCUUCAGUGAACAUUCAACGCUGUCGGUGAGUUUGGAAUUAAAAUGAAAACCAUCGACCGUUGAUUGUACCCUACAGCUAACCACCAUCGUCCUCCUUCCAGGACUUUCACUACAGACAGAAAACCAAACCAGGACACUCAAGGACUCCUCCAGUCUCUUAUCCUGCCCAGCUUUAUUUUCCAAAGGUCACAAUCAACAUUCAUUGCUGUCGGUGGGUUUAACUGUGUGGACAAGCUCACUGAACAAUGAAUGCAACUGUGGCCCCACUUUAUUGCAGACUCAGAAAAAAGGAAUAUCAUCUAUGAAAGCCUUCCUGGAACACAGAAAUCUUUAUUUUUUUUUUUGCCCUCAGCAGACCUUUUCUAAUCAGAAGACUGGCAGACACUUUUAGGAUUUUGAAGUUCAGUUUGUAUCAGAUGUUUGUUACAAAAGCCCAGGUUGUAAUAGGGACAGUAAUCUCUCUGCUCUUCUCUGCAAUAUAAAAAGGGUAACCCUACCCCCUUUAAGGGAGAGGAAUUUCCUGUCACUUUCUAGAUUAGGAAAUCACUCACAUUCAUAUCAUUACAGAAUUUGGUGAGAAGGAUAUAACUAAAACACAUCUACUGCAAUGUUGAAAAACAAAAUUAUUACAUUGGGGUAACUCACAAUUCUUGUGUCGUAUUAUGAUUUCAUUUUAUACUAUAAGAAACAAUGCAAAGAAUACCAGCGACUCUAUUGAACCUAGUUAGGAAGAGCAUUAUAACCACCUCAUAAAAUCACUCCUCUCCGUAUCCUUCCUAUGAUUUGCCAGUCUGUAACCAAUUUGGCAUUCUUCUUUUGUUGCUUUCAUUUGGUGACUUGCAUGUAACAUACCAGUUACAAGAAGUAGAGAAAUCAUAUAAAUAGUACAUUCCUUUAAGCUAUUAUAACCCACCUGACAUGUGUACCAUGAGAUUCUUUUCCCUAAUUAAAACUAACUUGAACACUUAUUUCUUCAA